rnacentral:rRNA from 1 species
CCGAGUGGCGGACGGGUGAGUAACGCGUGGGUAACCUGCCUCAUACAGGGGGAUAACGGUUAGAAAUGACUGCUAAUACCGCAUAAGCGCACAGUACCGCAUGGUACGGUGUGAAAAACUCCGGUGGUAUGAGAUGGACCCGCGUCUGAUUAGCUAGUUGGUGAGGUAACGGCCCACCAAGGCGACGAUCAGUAGCCGACCUGAGAGGGUGACCGGCCACAUUGGGACUGAGACACGGCCCAGACUCCUACGGGAGGCAGCAUG